rnacentral:misc_RNA from 1 species
CGACUCCUUGUAUCUGGCUGAAGCUACAACCCAUAUAGAUUUAACGGACUCCGAGAACGACUCCUUUGCUCGGCUUUGAUACUAAUAUUUCUGUACAGAACGCAUUGAUUAAUCUUUUAUGGGUGUUGUGGCUUGGUUAAUGUUGCUUCUAAGGUGUUCUACGAAAUGCUUGUUAGUUGUUAGAGACCUUGUCUCAUGGUCUUCCAUGAUUCCUUCUUUGGCUAACAAUGGUCUUACGCAAGAAGCUUGUGCUUUGUUUGGUUCGG